AGCAGUCGCCACGGUAAUACGGAGGGGGCUAGCGUUGUUCGGAAUUACUGGGCGUAAAGCGCACGUAGGCGGCUUUGUAAGUCAGAGGUGAAAGCCCGGGGCUCAACCCCGGAAUUGCCUUUGAGACUGCAUCGCUUGAAUCCAGGAGAGGUGAGUGGAAUUCCGAGUGUAGAGGUGAAAUUCGUAGAUAUUCGGAAGAACACCAGUGGCGAAGGCGGCUCACUGGACUGGUAUUGACGCUGAGGUGCGAAAGCGUGGGGAGCAAACAGGAUUAGAUACCCGCGUAGUCCCUGUCUCUUAUAC
rnacentral:rRNA from 1 species